CCAUCUCCCCACACUAGGGCACCGCAGCUGGGCUGUUGCUGCAGAGCUGGGGAGGGUCCUGAGUGCCAGGCACGAGUGAACUGGCGACCGGGUGCAGAGUGGGCUCGGGAGCCCGUUGGGGAAAGGACGGUGGGCAGAGUUCAGAGAAUCCACAGAAGAGGAGGCGGAGUGUAAGAGCCUGAAGGGAUGGAGGAAACCAAGAGAACAAUGCCCUCUAAAUCAGCUGAGCAAAGCUUCUAUGAACUCACAGAAAUUGAAGAAGCAAGUACAGGGCCUACAUGGGCUAGAAGUAACUGUGCUAAUUCCAUGGGGACCAUCUCUGGCUCUGACUUACCACUGAUUUCAGAACUAGAAUGGCAUCCAGAGCCUUAGGCAAAAUUAUUUUUGAGACCCAUCAGAGCCCAGGGGAACAUGUUAUAUUCCUUUGCCCCUAAGCUAUUUGAAUCAGCCUUCCUUCUAGCCCCUUCCUUUGCCAAGACUCAUAGUUGGUGGCUUAGGCCUUCAGGAUGGAUGGACGCUGGGUGUGGUGAAUCACCUCCUGCAUGAUCCUCAUGACUCUUCAAGGGGAACUUGGAGACCUGGAAUUUUGGUCAGAAUUCUCUGUUCAUAUUCCCAGAACCUAGGCUCUCUGAAGCAAUCUUUGUUUAUAUUGUUUAAUGCUUACAUCUUCUCUGUGGGUUUCUGAUGUCGAGAGUAGGGUAUCUUAAACUGCCCUCCCAUGUACACAUCGAACCUAGGACCCCGUGGCUUUGUAUGGCCUAAGCUUUUCACCAGCCUGGGCCUUAGUCUUUUGCUUAAUGGAGCACAACGUAGUAUGGGGUGGAGAACUUGCCUAGCGCUCCAUGAGGCUCACCUCUGCCACCUCAAAAAU